UGCUUACACUUUCAUCCUCACUUCGUGUAAAGGGUUAACCCGAAGGUGCUAUGGCUAGUGGACAAAAACUUAUAAGUUGGCUCCACCCUUACUCAACUAAACAUGCGUACCUACGCUCAUGGGUCACUAUUGGACCAUCCAAAAUUGGGCUGGUGUCACAAACUAUCCAUAUUAUCCGAUCAUCUGAUAUUCAAUGGGUAAUCCCUUCUUGUAUUUCAAUCCAACAUCGGAUAAAACUAUCCAAAUUCAUAUCCAAUAUCCAAAAAGUUUCUCUAACAUUCUUCAGUCUAUCCGACAAUCAAG
rnacentral:lncRNA from 1 species